rnacentral:rRNA from 1 species
UAGUCCACGCCGUAAACGAUGGAUGCUAGCCGUCGGGGCAAUAGCUUCGGUGGCGUCGCUAACGCUUUAAGCAUCCCGCCUGGGGAGUACGGUCGCAAGAUUAAAACUCAAAGGAAUUGACGGGGACCCGCACAAGCGGUGGAGCAUGUGGUUUAAUUCGAGGCAACGCGAAGAACCUUACCAGGACUUGACAUGCCGGUCGCGGAUCGCAGAGAUGCCUUCCUUCAGCUUGGCUGGACCGUGCACAGGUGCUGCACGGCUGUCGUCAGCUCGUGUCGUGAGAUGUUGGGUUAAGUCCCGCAACGAGCGCAACCCUCAUCCUUAGUUGCCAUCAGGUUAUGCUGGGAACUCUAAGGAACUGCCGGGGUUAACCGGAGGAAGGUGGGGAUGACGUCAAGUCUUCAUGGCCCUUAUGUCCUGGGGCUACACACGUGCUACAAUGGUAGUGACAAUGGGCAGCGACAUCGAAAGGUGGAGCCAA